AGGAGUGUAGCUCAGUUGGGAGAGCGGCGGUCUCCAAAACCGCGGGUCGGGGGUUCGAGUCCCUCCACUCCUG
rnacentral:tRNA from 1 species